CGUUGUAGUGACGGCUUGUGCGGC
rnacentral:siRNA from 1 species